UUCUUUGUGAAUCAAUGCUUGUCUGAGUCCUUUCUGCCAGGGACUUGUUUUGUAGCCUAGAGGAUUCAGAAAAAGAGGUACAAGUCAUCUAUUUGGUGAAAGUAUAUGUGAUUUUGGCAUGUCCUGUGUUGGGAAGAUAUAUCAAAAGAUGUUUCCCUAUUCCUACCAUCAAAGUUACUUGGUGGGGAGCUCUGUUCUUGGAGGUCUGACUUGAC
rnacentral:lncRNA from 1 species